AGAGUUUGAUCCUGGCUCAGAUUGAACGCUGGCGGCAGGCUUAACACAUGCAAGUCGAGCGGGGAAGGUUGCUUCGGUAACUGACCUAGCGGCGGACGGGUGAGUAAUGCUUAGGAAUCUGCCAUUUAGUGGGGGACAACAUUCCGAAAGGAAUGCUAAUACCGCAUACGUCCUACGGGAGAAAGCAGGGGAUCUUCGGACCUUGCGCUAAAUGAUGAGCCUAAGUCGGAUUAGCUAGUUGGUGGGGUAAAGGCCUACCAAGGCGACGAUCUGUAGCGGGUCUGAGAGGAUGAUCCGCCACACUGGGACUGAGACACGGCCCAGACUCCUACGGGAGGCAGCAGUGGGGAAUAUUGGACAAUGGGCGGAAGCCUGAUCCAGCCAUGCCGCGUGUGUGAAGAAGGCCUUAUGGUUGUAAAGCACUUUAAGCGAGGAGGAGGCUACCUAGAUUAAUACUCUAGGAUAGUGGACGUUACUCGCAGAAUAAGCACCGGCUAACUCUGUGCCAGCAGCCGCGGUAAUACAGAGGGUGCGAGCGUUAAUCGGAUUUACUGGGCGUAAAGCGUGCGUAGGCGGCUUUUUAAGUCGGAUGUGAAAUCCCCGAGCUUAACUUGGGAAUUGCAUUCGAUACUGGGAAGCUAGAGUAUGGGA
rnacentral:rRNA from 1 species